AUUGCUUCCACACUUAUUCAACCCCAACUUCUAAGUGUGCCUAGAUAAAUUUCAUUUGGUAUCAGAGCUUGGCUCUACUUAUCUUGGUCUUAAAGGUGGCUUGUAGGGAAAGAUUCUGACAUGGCACAGUUCGGGAACAACAAUCAAGAAGGACAAUCAACCAAUAGACCUCCUUUGCUAUUUGGAACAGAAAAUUACAACUUCUAGAAGUUCCGAAUGAGGAUCUAUCUUAAAAGAGAUCCUUGGGAAUGGUGGGUUGUGAAAAAUGGACCAGUUGUUCCACGAAGAGAUGAUGGGACACCAAAGACUCUCCUAGAAUGGAUUCAACUAAAACCUAAAUGGUCUCAUAUGGUUCAAGGGCAAUGAAUACACUUCUCAGUGGUAUGGUACAAUCCGAGAUUGACAAGGUGGAGAUGCAACAUAGCUAAGGAAAUUUGGGAUACUCUAGUGGUAAGUCAUGAAGGAACAUCCAAAGUACGAGAAGUCAAGCUAAGCAUGCUUAUGCACUGUCGACGUCGGGAUUUUUAUUUGUCCCUUUUCUAUACUUGUUCUUUGGUGUUCUCAUGUUAGG
rnacentral:lncRNA from 1 species